AGUGAACGCUGGCGGUAGGCCUAACACAUGCAAGUCGAACGGCAGCACAGUAAGAGCUUGCUCUUACGGGUGGCGAGUGGCGGACGGGUGAGGAAUACAUCGGAAUCUACUUUUUCGUGGGGGAUAACGUAGGGAAACUUACGCUAAUACCGCAUACGACCUACGGGUGAAAGCAGGGGAUCUUCGGACCUUGCGCGAUUGAAUGAGCCGAUGUCGGAUUAGCUAGUUGGCGGGGUAAAGGCCCACCAAGGCGACGAUCCGUAGCUGGUCUGAGAGGAUGAUCAGCCACACUGGAACUGAGACACGGUCCAGACUACUACGGGAGGCAGCAGUGGGGAAUAUUGGACAAUGGGCGCAAGCCUGGUCCAGCCAUACCGCGUGGGUGAAGAAGGCCUUCGGGUUGUAAAGCCCUUUUGUUGGGAAAGAAAAGCAGCAGGUUAAUACCCAGCUGUUCUGACGGUACCCAAAGAAUAAGCACCGGCUAACUUCGUG
rnacentral:rRNA from 1 species